GACGAACGCUGGCGGCGUGCCUAAUACAUGCAAGUCGAACGAACCGCGACCGAGUGCUUGCACUUGGUCAAGGUGAGUGGCGAACGGGUGAGUAACACGUGGGUAACCUACCUCAUAGUGGGGGAUAACAGUCGGAAACGACUGCUAAUACCGCAUAGGACAUAGGAUCACAUGAUCCAGUGAGGAAAGGUGGCGCAAGCUAUCGCUAAGAGAUGGACCCGCGGUGCAUUAGCUAGUUGGUAGGGUAAAGGCCUACCAAGGCGAUGAUGCAUAGCCGACCUGAGAGGGUGAUCGGCCACAUUGGGACUGAGACACGGCCCAAACUCCUACGGGAGGCAGCAGUAGGGAAUCUUCCGCAAUGGACGCAAGUCUGACGGAGCAACGCCGCGUGAGUGAAGAAGGUCUUCGGAUCGUAAAGCUCUGUUGUUAGAGAAGAACAGCGCAUAGAGUAAACUGUUAUGCGUGUGAACGGAU
rnacentral:rRNA from 1 species